AUAUGGAUAAAACAAGCACUCGUGAAUUUUUCAAAAGACCUCAAGUUAUAGCACUCGUACAUGUUUUAUCCAAGUUCACUCGAAGUCAUCCUGUUAUCUAUAUGCUAAUUAUUUUUUAGUUUCAUGCAUAUUAUAUUAUAUUUCUUUACUAUUAGGAGCCCGGCCAUUCGCAAGAAAGCUGGUCUUUCUCGUCAGUGACAGAUGGACUGAUGGACGAAUGACUUCCGACUUUGAUGCUCUUUGAAAAACUCACUCGUACAUGUUUUAUCCAAGUUCACUCGAAGCCAUCCUGUUAUCUAUAUGCUAAUUAUUUUUUUAGUUUCUUGCAUUAUAUUAUAUUUCUUUAAAUUAGGAGCCCGGCCAUUCGCAAGAAAGCUGGUCUUUCUCGUGACAGAUGGACGGUCGAAUGAUUAUAUAGCAGAAAACACUAGCCAUGCAUGCAGUGCGAAAAAGCUAAAGCGGAAUAUUCCGGGUGUGAAAACUUUUGUUGUUGCCGUUGGCAAGUACAUUAACGGAAUAGAUGAAAUGUCAAACGUAACUUCCUAUAUCUACCAGAUAAACACGUUUUCCGAGUUGGGAAAAAACAGCGACCUACAAUACGUUUUCGAAUUGGCUUUGCAGACAAUGACGAAUCCUACGGCUUCGCCGACCCUGAUAAAACCUCCAAAGUCUUUAUGUAACUGAGAAACAUACUGCAACCUGGAAUUCAUGAUGGGCUGAUCAUAGUUAGAGUUUCAGUACACGUUAGACAGUAUAGUACCCUGGAUUCCAGAGCCUUCGACAGUAAAUAAUAAAUUGAAAUGUCGCGAAGGCUCUGGUUCAACGGGGAGAUUCUUUGAUUAAACCGCGCCAAUCACAAAACAGAAUUCGUGGUUUUAGUACAGAUUCUGUACUAAAACCACUAAUUCUGUUUUGUGAUUGGCGCGGUUUAAUCAAAGAAUCGCCCCGUUGAACCAGAGCCUUCGUGACAUUUCAAUUUAUUAUUUACUGUCGAAGGCUCUGGAAUCCAGGGUAACAGUAUAGAUCAUCUCUGAUAAUAAAUAAACUUGUAAUGAACAAAUAAUAAACAACAAUCAAUAAAAUCUUGGCUCUCUUCACUUAGGGGCGGACCAUUAGAAAAUGG